rnacentral:lncRNA from 1 species
AAAAAAAAAAAAAAGUGCAGACUCCCAAAGACAGAUGUGAAGAGGUCCAGUGAUUUGAAUGGACAAACAGCUGCAGCCACUGCAUGACCCUAGGACCCAGAUCCCCCACAGGCUUUGAGAAGAUGACCCCAAGUCAAGCCGAGCGCAUAUGAGAGCAGUGGAGAAAGAGCUCUGUUUCUGUCUUCAAGAGGGCAUACUGCAUAUUUCCCAGAGACAAAAGGGAGCAUCGAACCCAAUGCCAGUUUGCUAACAGAGCCUUCCAUAUGCAAGCACCAGAGUUCUAUGCUUCACCAGGAGCUGUAAAGCAAAUCUUUUAUUUACGCAGUGUGCACUGAAAGCCUUAUGAGAGUCGACUUUGGAAAGCUGGACUAUUUUCUCCCUCAAUUUAUUUCAGCUUCCUUUGGAAAAAAAAAAUAGCUCAUGGCUGAGAGACAAUGGGUGUUUUCUCACUGGGUUUUAUAACAGGGAAGCAAAAUAGCCCUUGAGAAAAGUGCAAUGAAACAACUGCGAACACAAAGAUAUAUGUCGAGAGUCCAAUGGUGUGUUUUCAGAUGAUAAAUUGGCUGGGUUCCUCCACCACCCCCCACCCAAGAGAGCACUGACCCACUCUCUCAGCUCUUAAAGAAUAAACUCUGCAGAUGAAUCUACUAAUGAGACAUUAAUCUUGCUGUGUCACCCAGGCUGAAGUACAGUGGUGCAGCCUCCACCUCCUGAGCUCAAGUGAUAAGACAUAAAUAAGGUUCCAAUUAUAUCAAAGAUGCCAAUAUAUCAUAAUGACAGAAAAAUAAGGGAACCUAACCCUGGCUCACUCUCAGAACAUUUGACUCCACUGGUGGUAGAAUAACUCAAGAAUGACUAAACAGGGUCUUCCAUGACCUGGGCUAUAAUUCAAGGAGGAGCCUAGGACCUAUCCAGGGUAGAUGAUAAAGACACAGUUUUCAACCUGAGGUAACAUGAACUCAAAAGGAAGGGUAGAAGACUGGCAAGCCAACAACUUUUCUCUACUCAGGUGGACACAUCCGUAGAAGUAUUUGGCAUCACGCUGCUGCUCUUCACUGAUGAGAAGUGACUCACCAGGAUGACAGAGGUUCUGAGUAGGGCAUCUGCCAACCAAUGGGGCAAGAUGGCUCAGAAUGGACCCUCAAGAUGUACAAGCCCUGCAGAGCCAGCAGAGUGGCCGGUGCCAUCUGGCCAAUGUCUGGAAUUGAAGCACAAAGGAUGUUCUCCAGAAAUGAAAGCUUAUUUUAAGGUCACUUCUUGGGAGAAAUAGAUUACAAUUAUAGAAGUCUUUAUAUAAAUGUUCAAUCUGGGGCUGAAUCCUUGAACAGGGAAAGAAAAAGCCAUGAAGGCAGUCCAGAGCAUCUGUUUGAACAAUAACAACAGAAACAUUGCACAUUAUUAUCCUCCUUGCAGAUUAACCAAAAUAAACAUGGACUGAAUCCUCAGUUAACUCACUGCACAUAUGAGCAAAGAGAUCAGGAUGCAUGAAAUACUUAGCUUUAAAAAAACAAAAACAAAAACAAAUAAUUUCCCAAGUGUGUUUGAGGUUCCCAGAUUCCUUCAGUCUAAUGUUCUCCAUUUUAACUCUGAAGUUAAAAUGUUCA